rnacentral:rRNA from 1 species
GACGAACGCUGGCGGCGUGCCUAACACAUGCAAGUCGAACGGAGAAUUAGCAAUAAUUCUUAGUGGCGAACGGGUGAGUAACGCGUAGACAACCUACCCUUUAGAUGGGGACAACACCGCGAAAGUGGUGCUAAAACCGAAUAUUGCUUGAGAAGCGCAUGCUUUUCAAACUAAAGAUGGCCUCUAUUUAUAAGCUAUCGCUAAAGAAUGUGUCUGCGUCUGAUUAGCUAGUUGGUGAGAUAAAAGCUCACCGAGGCAACGAUCAGUAGCCGGUCUGAGAGGAUGAACGGCCACACUGGGACUGAGACACGGACCAGACUCAUACGGGAGGCAGUAGUGGGGAAUCUUCCGCAAUGGAAGAAAGUCUGACGGAGCAAUGCCGCGUGAGUGAUGAAGGUUUUCGGAUCGUAAAACUCUGUUGUUAAGGACGAAUGUAUAGAUUGUGAAUAAUGGUUUAUAAUGACGGUACUUAACGAGGAAGCCACGGCUAACUACGUGCCAGCAGCCGCAGUAA